UAUCUGGUUAUUUAAUUGUGCUAGUCCUACGUGGUGUCUAGUGAUCUUAGAGUUAGGGGUCAACGGAUUUUAACCUAUUUAUUAUUUUAGACCCGUCGACUGCUCGUGCUUCGGAGUCUACGCAGGGUUAGCUGUUUGCCAAGAUCACGUGGAUAAGCAAGCAGUUUAUGAUUUGAAAGCUGGUCCACUCCGAUUCUUUUGACUCCUCGGAGGUUUUUAUGUUAUUAAACUAGUUUCUAUUUUUCGAACUCUUAGACCGCAGUAGAACUAGUUUAUACAUUACUUAUUAUUGCACUUUGGGAUUGUCGUUUUGAGCGACUAUUUAUUAUUGGCAUGUUCACUCCGGAUUAUUUAUUUUUAUAUAUAAGGCAUGCUGUUGAACUUUUCA